GUGAAUCAUCAAAUCUUUGAACGCAAAUUGCGCUUCCUAGCAUCCCGGGAAGCAUGCCUGUUUGAGGGUCAGUAUUAACAAAAACACCGGUUUGUUUGCAAAUUUUGACGUUUCCGGAGUUUGUGCUAGCUUAACUUUUUUGGUUAAGGGGCGUAAAAGUGACCUUUUAUGUGCAUUUUUAGACGUACAUAAAUUUUUUUUUAUUCGUCUAUUCUUAAUGCCAAAAUCCUAUUCGAUCCGUUCACAUCUUGUGGUUUUGUGUCCUU
rnacentral:misc_RNA from 1 species